GGCUCCGUGGCUUAAUGGUUACAACUUCUGCCUCACAAGCAGAAGGUUCAGGUAUCAAAUCCCGGCCGGUACCU
rfam:Culex pipiens quinquefasciatus supercont3.30 genomic scaffold, whole genome shotgun sequence.